UACGAAGGGUGCAAGCGUUAAUCGGAAUUACUGGGCGUAAAGGGUGCGUAGGCGGUUAGUUAAGUCUGUUGUGAAAUCCCCGGGCUCAACCUGGGAAUUGCGUUGGAGACUGCAAGGCUGGAGUCUGGCAGAGGGGGGUAGAAUUCCACGUGUAGCAGUGAAAUGCGUAGAGAUGUGGAGGAACACCGAUGGCGAAGGCAGCCCCCUGGGUCAAGACUGACGCUCAUGCACGAAAGCGUGGGGAGCAAACAGG
rnacentral:rRNA from 1 species